rnacentral:rRNA from 1 species
UACGUAGGAGGCGAGCGUUGUCCGGAAUUAUUGGGCGUAAAGAGUGCGCAGGCGGUUUUACAAGUCAGAUGUGAAAGAGGCCGGCUUAACCGGCAAGGGUCAUUUGAAACUGUGAGACUAGAGUACAGCAGAGGAUAGCGGAAUUCCCGGUGUAGUGGUGAAAUGCGUAGAUAUCGGGAGGAACACCAGUGGCGAAGGCGGCUAUCUGGGCUGAAACUGACGCUGAGGCGCGAAGGCUAGGGUAGCAAACAGG